rnacentral:rRNA from 1 species
ACGAGAAAUCACCUUCGGGUGAGAGUAGAGUGGCGCACGGGUGAGUAACACGUGGGAACCUACCCUUCAGUGGGGAAUAACCAGGGGAAACUUUGGCUAAUACCGCAUACGCCCUUCGGGGGAAAGCUUUAUGCGCUGAAGGAUGGGCCCGCGUCAGAUUAGCUUGUUGGUAGGGUAAUGGCCUACCAAGGCUCCGAUCUGUAGCUGGUUUGAGAGGACGAUCAGCCACACUGGGACUGAGACACGGCCCAGACUCCUACGGGAGGCAGCAGCUAGGAAUAUUGGACAAUGGGGGAAACCCUGAUCCAGCCAUGCCGCGUGAGUGAAGAAGGCUCUAGGGUUGUAAAGCUCUUUCAGUGGUGAAGAUGAUGACUGUAGCCACAGAAGAAGCCCCGGCUAACUUCGUGCCAGCAGCCGCGGUAAUACGAAGGGGGCUAGCGUUGUUCGGAUUUACUGGGCGUAAAGAGCUCGUAGGCGGCUCAUUAAGUGAGAGGUGAAAUCCCGAGGCUCAACCUCGGAACUGCCUUUCAUACUGGUGAGCUGGAGUAUGAUAGAGGGUAGUGGAAUUUCCAGUGUAGGGGUGAAAUCCGUAGAUAUUGGAAGGAACACCAGUGGCGAAAGCGACUACCUGGAUCA